UGACUGACUGAGCCACCAAGGCGCCCCGGAAGAAAUCGUCUUUAAAUUCUCUGGAUGUAGCUCACUUAAAGGUGAUAUACCUAUUUUGGAACAAGGCAUUUAUACACAAAGUAACCUAUGGAUGUACAGAGCAGAACACAAAUUAAUAUAAAGAUGAGCAGGGAUGAUAUUCUCCUAGCUGUUCCCAUGGUGGACGGCAAAUGAUUGUUGAAAGGAUGAAUUAAAUAUUGCUUGGAGACACUACACAUCUACUCAAGGUAAAAGAGAAGAUGAUCAAGAAAAGGAUAACCACAUUCUUUUAGGAUCUGUGACAAGAGAGGCUGGUGUGGAGACUGGGAUGCAGGGAGGACAUGAGGGAAGCUGAGACGAUGAAGCCCUCUGGUAGUGCGCGUCGCUCAAAUGCUUUCAGAGGCCAUGGCCCAGUGGAUAACCUAGAGAUCUGCAAAGGGCCUAGUUGGAGCAGCCAUUUUGCCAUUCAAGAAUGUAGGCCCAGCAAGGCCAGGUCUUCACAUUUUCAUGAGAAG